UGAACGCUGGCGGCAUGCUUUACACAUGCAAAUCGCACGGUAACAGGCCUUCGGGUGCUGACGAGUGGCGAACGGGUGAGUAAUGCAUCGGAACGUACCCAGAGGUGGGGGAUAACGCAGCGAAAGCUGUGCUAAUACCGCAUGUGAUCUGAGGAUGAAAGCGGGGGACCGAGCAGCAAUGUUUGGCCUCGCGCCUUUGGAGCGGCCGAUGUCGGAUUAGCUAGUUGGUGGGGUAAAGGCCUACCAAGGCGACGAUCCGUAGCUGGUCUGAGAGGACGACCAGCCACACUGGGACUGAGACACGGCCCAGACUCCUACGGGAGGCAGCAGUGGGGAAUUUUGGACAAUGGGCGCAAGCCUGAUCCAGCAAUGCCGCGUGCGGGAAGAAGGCCUUCGGGUUGUAAACCGCUUUUGGCAGGAACGAAACGGUGUCCGCUAAUACCGGGCGCUAAUGACGGUACCUGCAGAAUAAGCACCGGCUAACUACGUG
rnacentral:rRNA from 1 species